rnacentral:sRNA from 12 species
GGCCUAAACCACCCUUAAAGGUUGGCAUGGCAUAAAAUCCGUUCAAGGUAGAAAACCCGUCGUCAGGGUUCCUUGAACGGUCGCAGGGGGAAACUUCUGCGUUCUGCCCGAAAGGGUAGA